rnacentral:rRNA from 1 species
AGAGUUUGAUUCUGGCUCAGAACGAACGCUGGUGGCGUGUUUUAUACAUGCAAGUCGAGCGAGGACAGUAGCUUGCUACUGAGCCGAGCGGCGAACGGGUGAGUAACGCGUAGGCAAUCUGCCCCACAAUCGGGAACAACCGUGCCAACGCGCGGCUAAUGCCGGAUAUUGUGUCCUACUGCAUAGUAGGUUAACGAAAGAUUUAUCGUUGUGGGAUGAGCUUGCGUCCGAUUAGCUAGUUGGCGGGUAAUAGCCCACCAAGGCGACGAUCGGUAGCCGGCCUGAGGAGGGUGAUCCGGCCACAGUUGGGACUGAGAUACGGCCCAGACUCCUACGGGAGGCAGCAGGUAGGGAAUAUUGCGCAAGUGGGGGGAACCCUGACGCAGACCAACGCCACGUGUGGGAAGAAGCAUUUCGGUGUGUAAACCACUGUCGGAAAGGAAUAACGGAAGACUUCGGUCUUUAUGAAUGUUACUUUUAGAGGAAGCACCGGCAAACUUCGUGCCAGCAGCGGC